CGCGGCUAGGUCACAAAAAAAUCCCCAAUCCUCGCGUCCACCAGUCAUCCCCAUCGACGCGCUUCCCCAGUCCCCUCGCUCCACCGCCGCACACCAUCGAGGCCCCCACCGCCGCAUCCAGGCCGAGGCCGCCGCACCACGCCCCCAUCCAGGCCGAGGCCGGCGCGGGCGCAUCCCCAUCGAGGGGCCUCCGCCUUCGUCCCCACCUGUGACGGCCACCUCCAUCCACACGCGUCACCGUCUCUAUCGAGCAGUGUCGCCAUUCUCGCGCGAGCACCACCGCCUCUCCUCGCCGGAGUUGCAACCGUCGGGAGGAAUCUCCUUUCCAUCGAGUGUUGCAGCGGCUCAUCGUCCCAAGCUGCUUCUCGAUCUUCUCCACCGAGCACCGCCGUCGGAAGCAUGUCUUAUCCGCCUAGCGUCGCCAUCAAGUGCAAUCCGUCCUCUCCGCCGAGUAUCCGCCGAAGCACGCCAAGCAGACGCCGACUCCACUCCGUGUCUCUACCGAGCAGCACGCCGUCAGCGAGAUCUGUAGCCGCUUCUCCUCGCCAAGCUCAAUGCAGCAUAGCACAAUCGGAGGUUGAAUGCAUGCCUGGAGAAAUUACAACAGCAUAUGUUGCCAUUUCCAGAUUUGACCUGUGUCUCUGAAAUUAAUAUAUAGGAUAUGCUAGAGGUAAGGGAGCAGAAUGGAGGGUGGAGCAGCUAAAUUCUUUCCAUCCUGGUUAGAAAUACUUUGUACCUUGCAUUAAAUUAUAUUCUUCUUGAUGAAUUGAAAUUAAGUUACCUUGUUUCACUGAACAGUUAUGCAAACAUUUAUACUUGGUUAAUCCGUUGUGAUAGAAACCAGUACUUGCUGUGGCUUGAAAUCAUCUUGUACCGGAGUGGCGCAUGCAGAUGGUGCAGCAUGCAGGAUCUUUGGAUUUUUAUUUUUUUCCCUUCAGUUCUUGUUUUUCUGCUCCUGCUUCUAUUUGUACUGUCAAAUUGUUCUCUAAAGAAUACAUUUCAGCACUAAGAUUUGCAAGCAGUUGGUUCCAGUAUCCUAACACGUCCUAUUCUUGUGUAUCUGUUUUUGAUAACCAAUCUUGCCUCUUCUAAACUGUAAUGAGGGGUAGACCAUAAAUUAAAGAUCGAGUUAAUACUAAAGAUUGCUAACACCCUAAUCAAAAUGGAGAUGUUCUGUUAAUUGCUGCUUUGCAUCUUCUUCUGUCGGUCGUGUUUUGCACAGAUUGUGUGAAUUGAAACUCUAAUUCAGUUUUGCUAGAGUGAAUAAGAUUUCAGAUUUUCCUUAUAGUAGAGAAUAAGAUUCAGUUUUUUCCCAAAAUAUAUUAAUCUCCUGGCAAUGCAACACAAAAUGACAAUCAUUUCUUCAAGUGCAUAAUAUUUUGAUGUUCUUUUUGCAUAACAUCAUUGUUUUAAACUAUUUGUGAUAUCAUGCAUGAACUCCAGUAGACGGCCACCUUAAUUUUUUCAUCCUAUGCAAUUGUCACCAGCCGCGUAUUGAAGAGGCUGCAGAGCAUCAUGGAAGCAAUACAUGGAGCUGAUUGCACCAAGCACUCCGCCAUGGUCAGGAUCUAGGUGAGAUGUAGGGCUGGCGACAAAGCAUGGAUGCAAAUGAUUGCUCUAUCCCAACAAUUGGUUGGAUCUCCCUCUUGAUUGAAGGCAUAUAAUGAUCAUGGCAAAGGACUGGGAUUGAUUUGUGUUGUCAAUGAACACAUUUGGUUAGUCAGCCAUGUGUAGCUAGCUAGUUUGUAGAUCCAUUCAUGUUGUGUUCUUGUCUCAUGAUGUUCUUAUGUUCACAUGACAUUAUUCUAUGAUUCUAAUAUAUUUAUGUGAUGCUUUCCUAUA